rnacentral:rRNA from 1 species
UACGAGGGGUGCUAGCGUUAUUCGGAAUUACUGGGCGUAAAGGGUGUGUAGGCGGUUUGUCAAGUCUGCUGUUAAAUUUUCCAGCUUAACUGGAACUCUGCGGUAGAAACUGGCUAACUAGAGUAUGGAAGAGAGAGGUGGAAUUCUCGGAGUAGCGGUAAAAUGUGUAGAUCUCGAGAGGAACACCGAUGGCGAAGGCAGCCUCUUGGUCCAUUACUGACGCUGAUACACGAAAGCGUGGGUAGCAAACAGG